CAACAAAGAUGCAGUCACACAGUCAUAAGUAGGAGGAGAUAGGUGAAAGGAAGGAUGGGCAGAUUAAUAGCAAUAGUAAUGCAGACUUAGUAGUUUGACAGUGUUGAGGGAAUUAUUUGUUUAGCAGAGUGAUGG